rnacentral:rRNA from 1 species
AGCGAUUCUCUUAGUAGCGGCGAGCGAAAAGGGACCAGCCCAGUUCUAACUUUGGAGUUACAAAAUUUCAUGAUAGUCGAAGUGUGUGGGAAAGCACACCAUAGAAGGUGAGAGUCCUGUAGACGAAAUUGUGAAAUCUCCGUUAGACGAAGAGUACGGCGAGACACGAGUAAUCUUGUCGGAAUAUGCGAGGACCAUCUCGUAAGGCUAAAUACUACCAAUUGACCGAUAGUGAACCAGUACCGUGAGGGAAAGGUGAAAAGAACCGCGGGAGCGGAGUGAAAAGAUCCUGAAACCUUGUGCUUACAACAAGUUAGAGCCCGUUAAUGGGUGAUAGCGUGCCUUUUGUAGAAUGAACCGGCGAGUUAUGAUAACAUGCAAGGUUAAACUUUGAGGAGCGGAGCCGAAGCGAAAGCGAGUCUUAACCGGCGAAUUAGUAUGUUGUCAUAGACCCGAAACUGGGUGAGCUAGCCAUGAGCAGGUUGAAGUUGGGGUAAGACCCAAUGGAGGACCGAACCAGGACACGUUGAAAAGUGUUUGGAUGACUUGUGGCUAGAGGUGAAAUUCCAAUCGAACCCAGAGAUAGCUGGUUCUCAGCGAAAUAGCUUUCGGGCUAGCGUUGUGGUAAAGUGGUAUGCAGGUAGAGCACUGAAUGGUUGAUGGUCCCAUCCCGGGAUACUGAUAUCAAUCAAACUCCGAAUGGCAUACUUACAUACACAGCAGUCAGACUACGGGUGAUAAGGUCCGUGGUCGAGAGGGAAACAGCCCAGACCGCCAAUUAAGGUCCCUAAAUUCAUGUUAAGUGGAAAAGGAUGUGGAGUUGUUUAGACAACUAGGAGGUUGGCUUAGAAGCAGCCAUCCUUUAAAGAGUGCGUAAUAGCUCACUAGUCGAAUGAUUCUGCGCCGAAGAUGUACCGGGGCUAAACAUGAUACCGAAAUUGCGGAUUCGUACUAGAUACGAAUGGUAGGUGAGCGUUCUUAUUGCGGUGAAGUCUGAUCGUAAGGACAGGUGGAGCGAUAAGAAGUGAGAAUGCCGGUGUGAGUAAUGAAAAGUAGGGUGAGAAUCCCUACCGUCAAAAGUCUAAGGUUUCCAGAGGAAGGUUCGUCCGCUCUGGGUUAGUCUGGGCCUAAGGUGAGGCUGAAAAGCGUAGCCGAUGGAUAAUAGGUUGAUAUUCCUAUACUACUUAUUGAACUGAUGGAGUGACGGAGAAAGAUAGCGUGAGCAGCUUAGUGGAUUGUUGUUCAAGCGUUUAGACCAUGAUAUAGGCAAAUCCGUAUCAUGUUAAGGUUGAGGCGUUACGACGAAAGUCACGUGAAUCUAUGCUUCCAAGAAAAGCUUCUAGGGUUAAUUUUAUAAGUACCAGUACCGCAAACCGACACAGGUAGACGAGGAGAGAAUCUAAAGACGCGCGAGAUAACUCUUGUUAAGGAACUCGGCAAAAUGACCCCGUAACUUCGGGAUAAGGGGAGCUCUACAAUGUAGAGCCGCAGAGAAUAGGCCCAAGCGACUGUUUAUCAAAAACACAGCUCUAUGCUAAAUCGCAAGAUGAUGUAUAUGGGGUGACGCCUGCCCAGUGCUGGAAGGUUAAGAGGAGUACUUAGUUUCGGCGAAGGUACGAAUUGAAGCCCCAGUGAACGGCGGCCGUAACUAUAACGGUCCUAAGGUAGCGAAAUUCCUUGUC